rnacentral:rRNA from 1 species
AGACUUUGAUCCUGGCUCAGGACGAACGCUGGCGGCGUGCCUAAUACAUGCAAGUCGAGCGAGCGGAACUAACAGAUUUACUUCGGUAAUGACGUUAGGAAAGCGAGCGGCGGAUGGGUGAGUAACACGUGGGGAACCUGCCCCAUAGUCUGGGAUACCACUUGGAAACAGGUGCUAAUACCGGAUAAGAAAGCAGAUCGCAUGAUCAGCUUUUAAAAGGCGGCGUAAGCUGUCGCUAUGGGAUGGCCCCGCGGUGCAUUAGCUAGUUGGUAAGGUAAAGGCUUACCAAGGCGAUGAUGCAUAGCCGAGUUGAGAGACUGAUCGGCCACAUUGGGACUGAGACACGGCCCAAACUCCUACGGGAGGCAGCAGUAGGGAAUCUUCCACAAUGGACGCAAGUCUGAUGGAGCAACGCCGCGUGAGUGAAGAAGGUUUUCGGAUCGUAAAGCUCUGUUGUUGGUGAAGAAGGAUAGAGGUAGUAACUGGCCUUUAUUUGACGGUAAUCAACCAGAAAGUCACGGCUAACUACGUGCCAGCAGCCGCGGUAAUACGUAGGUGGCAAGCGUUGUCCGGAUUUAUUGGGCGUAAAGCGAGCGCAGGCGGAAGAAUAAGUCUGAUGUGAAAGCCCUCGGCUUAACCGAGGAACUGCAUCGGAAACUGUUUUUCUUGAGUGCAGAAGAGGAGAGUGGAACUCCAUGUGUAGCGGUGGAAUGCGUAGAUAUAUGGAAGAACACCAGUGGCGAAGGCGGCUCUCUGGUCUGCAACUGACGCUGAGGCUCGAAAGCAUGGGUAGCGAACAGGAUUAGAUACCCUGGUAGUCCAUGCCGUAAACGAUGAGUGCUAAGUGUUGGGAGGUUUCCGCCUCUCAGUGCUGCAGCUAACGCAUUAAGCACUCCGCCUGGGGAGUACGACCGCAAGGUUGAAACUCAAAGGAAUUGACGGGGGCCCGCACAAGCGGUGGAGCAUGUGGUUUAAUUCGAAGCAACGCGAAGAACCUUACCAGGUCUUGACAUCUAGUGCCAUUUGUAGAGAUACAAAGUUCCCUUCGGGGACGCUAAGACAGGUGGUGCAUGGCUGUCGUCAGCUCGUGUCGUGAGAUGUUGGGUUAAGUCCCGCAACGAGCGCAACCCUUGUUAUUAGUUGCCAGCAUUAAGUUGGGCACUCUAAUGAGACUGCCGGUGACAAACCGGAGGAAGGUGGGGAUGACGUCAAGUCAUCAUGCCCCUUAUGACCUGGGCUACACACGUGCUACAAUGGGCAGUACAACGAGAAGCGAGCCUGCGAAGGCAAGCGAAUCUCUGAAAGCUGUUCUCAGUUCGGACUGCAGUCUGCAACUCGACUGCACGAAGCUGGAAUCGCUAGUAAUCGCGGAUCAGCACGCCGCGGUGAAUACGUUCCCGGGCCUUGUACACACCGCCCGUCACACCAUGGGAGUCUGCAAUGCCCAAAGCCGGUGGCCUAACCUUCGGGAAGGAGCCGUCUAAGGCAGGGCAGAUGACUGGGGUGAAGUCGUAACAAGCUAGCCGUA